CUGAAUAACUCAGCUGAUCGCACAGUCCUAGCACUGGCGACGUAUCUUUCAAGUGUCUGCCUUAUCAACUUUCGAUGGUAGUUUACACGCCUACCAUGGUUGUAACGGGUAACGGAGAAUAAGGGUUCGACUCCGGAGAGGGAGCCUGAGAAACGGCUACCACAUCCAAGGAAGGCAGCAGGCGCGCAAAUUACCCACUCUCAGCACGAGGAGGUAGUGACGAAAAAUAACGAGACGGUUCUCUAUGAGGUCCGUCAUCGGAAUGGGUACAAUUUAAACCCUUUAACGAGGAUCUAUUGGAGGGCAAGUCUGGUGCCAGCAGCCGCGGUAAUUCCAGCUCCAAUAGCGUAUAUUAAAGUUGUUGCGGUUAAAAAG
rnacentral:rRNA from 1 species